CAUAUGUAACCAGAAACUUCAGUCGAAGCCAAAUGGAGCACACAGUCGUCGCCAUCAUAAAAGUAAAACUAUGGAAACUAAAAAACCAACCAACGUUAAAGUAUAAAUGAAAAUCGAGUAUUAAUUCGAAUGUACGAUUGUGUGAAUGUGCAUAUCCACAAAAGUGAGCAGGGGCGACGAUGCCUGGCCCCUCGGUGCCAAAUAGCUAGUAUUGAAGUACGUAUACAUAUACGGUGCAGAGCAGGGGAGGCGUACUGCGACGAACAAGACAGCGACAGCUAUCUCAACAGCACAGUAAGCAGCGAAAAAUGUUCAUGAGACCAGCGUGGCGAUGAGUUAAAAUUAAAAUACGACCAUCAUGCCACCACCACACACUGCGCUUUUUGGGUGGCCAGACUGCUGGCUGUAUGCCUGGGCAAUGGCUUGCAGAAGUUGUUUUUGUAGGUUAUUGAUAGCAGAGGCGCGCGCGGAGGCAGCUACGUUUGUUACGUCGCCGAUGUCGUCGUGUAUCUAUCACUGUUCCCUUCCCCCCAACCCACAGCUGCAAUCUGAACGUUGACGGCAUUCACAUUUCAUAAGUGCUGAUGUCGUCGUUGCUGACUGCUUGCGUUAGCUGUACUUUGUUGUUCGGUCGCUUGCUUGCUUGCUUCUUGUGCUGCAAAUGGAAAGCGCGCUUUCGUUCGGUAGCGGUAUGAAUACCUAGGUGGGAAAGAGAUAGCUAUAUAACUGCCGGUGCGUUGCGAGUGUGAGCACAGUGUGGCAGAUGUGUAGCAAAUGCUAGAACUGCGUCGUUUGCCAACGACAAUUCAGCAUUACGAAGCAGGGAGGGAUCGCAAACUACAAAGCAGCACUGUAAAGACGGACAGUGGCAGCGACAAUUGUGUGUACGCGGUGUUCGUUGGCGACGUUCUGCAGUUUACCUUGUCUCAUUUUCACUACCGUCUACAUAGUCUCAUUCGAUUCUAAUUCGAUUUGAUUUCUGUUUUAGAGUGCUUCGCGACGUUUUUCGUUUCAGUCAUGUGGUUGUUUCAUUUUCAUUUACGUUUGUUUACAUAGCACUAAUUCAUUGAAUAAAACAUUUUGUUGGUCUUCGCCAUUUGGAAUCAGAUGUGUAAACAAAAACAAAAAUGCACUAAACGUUGGAAGAGUUUGCGCGAUAAAUUUGCGCGGGAAAUGAAAUUGUGCCAGGAAUCGCGUUGGCGUUACUUUAAGCAAAUGCAGUUCUUAGUCGAUUCGAUAAGACAAUAUCGCGAAUCGCUUUUGGGUAAAUGUAAUACUGUACAGCAGAAUACCAAUCAAGUAACACAAGUUGAUCCAAAUCAACAACAACAGCAGCCUCAGCAACAGGCUGUCGUAGAUAUAUUUGCACAGCCCUUCAACGGCAGUGCUACCACAUCGGCUCAAGCGCUUGCUCAUCCGCAUGAAAUUGCAGUUACAGGCGACACUCAAUUAACCGCCGCCGGUAAAGAUCAAAAACCAUAUUUCUAUGAGCCACCACUGAAGCGCGAGCGUACCGAGGAAGAAAAUCACGACAAUAUGCUAAACACAAUCAAGAUUUUCCAAAAUUCGAUGUCGCAGGCAGUUAGUGCUGAGGAUCAAUCGUUUGGCAUGGUGGUCACUGACAUGCUUAACACCUUGGGUGUGCGACAGAAGGCUGAAGCAAAGGUGCACAUCAUCAAAUACCUUACGGAUAUGCAAUUGCUGGCACAGCAUAACAAAUAUUAGAUGGAGUAACGCGUGGCGAUAUGCAUAUUUAAUGUGUUUGUAGAAGUUUUGAAAUAGCUACACAUGCGUUCAUGCUUAAUUUAAAAUACCAUAUUUCGAUAUACGUGCAUAGUUGUAACAGGGAAGAAUAUAAAUAAGUGGAAUAAUUGCCGAUGGCACUUCUUCAAUCUUAAUUGGAUUUAUUGUAUUUACCUAUUAGAAAUUAUUCGCGUAUAAGAGCUUAAUGUAAUACAUACUUAUGUAUAUACAUACAUACUAUAAUAUGAAACAUGUAUACAUGUGAAUUUAUAAAUGAAAAAACAAAA